GACAGAGGGUGCAAACGUUGCUCGGAAUUACUGGGCGUAAAGCGCGUGUAGGCGGAUUGGUGUGUCAGAUGUGAAAUCCCUGGGCUCAACCCAGGAACUGCACCUGAAACUACCAGUCUUGAGUGGUGGAGAGGGAAGUGGAAUUCCUGGUGUAGAGGUGAAAUUCGUAGAUAUCAGGAGGAACACCAGUGGCGAAGGCGGCUUCCUGGACACUAACUGACGCUGAGACGCGAAAGCGUGGGGAGCAAACAGG
rnacentral:rRNA from 1 species